GACGAACGCUGGCGGCGUGCUUAACACAUGCAAGUCGAACGGAAAGGCCCUGCUUUUGUGGGGUUCUCGAGUGGCGCGCGGGUGUGUAACCCGUGAGUAACCUGCCCUUGACUUUGGGAUAACUUCAGGAAACUGGGGCUACUACCGGCUAGGAGCUCCUGCUGCAUGGGGGGGGUUGGAAAGUUUCGGCUGUUGGGGAUGGACGCGCGGCUUAUCAGCUUGUUGGUGGGGUAGUGGCUUACCAAGGCUUUGACGGGUAGCCGGCCUGAGAGGGUGAACGGCGACAUGGGGACUGCGGGACGGCCCAGACUCCUAUGGGAGACAGCAGUGGGGAAUAUGGCACAAUGGGCGGAAGUCUGAUGCAGCAGCGCCGCGUGCGGGAUGACGGCCUUCGGGUUGUAAACCGCUUUCGCCUGAGACGAAGCGGGAGUGACGGUAAUGGGUAAAGAAGCACCGGCUAACUACGUG
rnacentral:rRNA from 1 species